CAAUGAAAAGAAAUUAGCUCGCAGUUUAUUGAAGAUCUCAUUGGAAAUGUUUCAGGAAAAUCCUGACAUUCUCUAAAUCUGACUUCUCUGAAAUAUGCCACGUAGCCACAACAGAAUCGGAAAUGGGUUCCACGUGGAUGCACUUACUUCCAUUGGGACGUGUCACAUGCACCACCUGGGUGAAUGGUUCUCGCACAUGCAUGUCUUGACUUGAAGACCAAGUCCUUCUGGGCAGGAUAUUAAACUGAUAGUCAUGGGACAAAUGCUAGACUCACGAGAAGGGACCAAAAAGGAAUCAUGGUCUCGCAACAUUUCAAGAUCUUACUGUGAAGGAAGUAAGUGUUCCAGUGAAGUUUUGGACUUUUAAGAUCAAAGUGCAAGCUACCCCUUGUGUAAACAAUUUUGUGUGUGCCUGUGAG